rnacentral:lncRNA from 10 species
GGUCUGCAGACUCUGCCCUUGAGGUGGCGAAGAGAGGCCAGAGGUGAACGUGAGAAUGAGAACUGGCAGAACUCAACGUGGAAACGUUGCUGGAGCGAAGAUGGCACCGGCCUCCAUCAUCAACUGCAGGAUUGAAUCACAUGGCACAGCUCCCCAAGAAGCAUUUACAGAAGAAACGAGCCAUAGCAUCACCUCGACUGAACGGUUCUGGCCAGGAUUUCUGUGCAUGUGUUUUAAGAAUUUUAAAAAUUGAGAAAUAAUUCACAUACCAUAAAAUUCACUCUUUAAAAGUGUACAAUUCAGUGGUUUUUAGUGCAUUUCCAAGUUUGUGCAACCAACAUCACUGUCUGAUUCCAGGACAUUUUCAACACCCCCAAAAAGAAACCACUUGCCAGGUUUUUGAAAGGGGCAAAUCUGUGCCAGAGUUGCUGUUGGAGAAAUAGUCUCUGUGAUAAAGAAACUUAAAAUUUCCGCUUCAGAUCUGAACGGUAAAGCUCAUUUCCAGGGAUUUUCUUCCUCUCCCCUCCCCAGCCACUCCAGGCUCAAUCUAGACUUUUAGUUUCUACUGACCUCGAAGAAUUGCCCCACAGAGGCGUUGUCCUGUGUUCCAACACUGUUUUGUGUUUCUGACAUGUGUGUGUAUUUUCUCGUCCUCCUGUUAGUGAAUACUUGUUAUCUCGCAGUUAACUUGUUCUCUUAUCAACCUUUUCUUUCCUCACUGUCUCUAAUCCCCGCAAGCUCCACCUCCCGGGUUCAAGUGCCUCAGCCUCCCAAGUAGCUGGGACUACAGGCGCACACCACCAUGCCCAGCUAAUUUUUUGUAUUUUAGUAGAGAUGGGGUUUCACCAUGUUGGCCAGGAUGGUCUCGAUCUCCUGACCUCAUGAUCCGCUCCUCUCAGCCUCCCAAAGUGCUGAGAUUAUAGGCAUGAGCCACCGUGUCCGGCCAAGGGCAGGAAUUCUUAAUCACUUCUCUCAGAUGACUUCCCACAGCUGGCUUCCUGCAUUUCUCCUUGCUAGGAAUUUUAUAGGAAUGAGGAGUUUAAUGGGUGCAGAGUUUUAGUUGGGGAAGAAGAAAAAGUCCCGGAGAUUAAUGGUGGUGAUGGUUGCAUCGCAAUGUAAAUGAAUGUACUUCAUGCCACAGAACGGUACACUUAAAAAUGGUUAAAAGGGUAAAUUUUAUGUUGUGUAUAUUUUAGAGCAAUAACAAAACAAUAAUUUUACAGGCUGUGGUUAUGAUCCUGCAAGCUGUGAGACUUAGCAAAAAGUGAGUUUCUUCUUCUGUGAAACAGGAAGAACCAUUCAUUCAACAAAUACUUCUCAAGCAUCCCUUAUAAGAAGACAAGAUGGUAUUAUGGUUAAAAACUCAAACUCUAGAGGCUGGUGGCCUGGAUUUGAAUCUUGAUUCUGUGGCUCUCUCACUGUUGGGAAAUGGGCAAGCCAAACUUUUCUCUGUGCCUUAGUUUUCUCAUCUGGAAAAUGGAGAUAGUAGUUCCUCUGUCAUUAGGAUUGUUGUGAGAAAUAAUUGAGUUAAUAUAUUCAAAUAGAACAGGGUCUGGCACAAGAUAAAUGCUACCUGUUAUCAUUAUUAUUAUUACUAUUUGCUUGAGUUAAUGUAUAAAAUAUGUAAACAGUAUGCAGCAUAAAAUAAGUGCUACCUAUAAUUAUUAUUGCUAUUUUGUGCCAGGCACCAUUCUAGAAGGUGGAGAUACAGCAAUGAACCCUUGACUUCCUGGAGCUUACCAUUUAGAGGGGAAAAUAGACAAUAAAUAAGGAAAUGUAUAGUAUGGCAGGUAGUAGUUAAUAUCUGCCUCAUAGUAUUUUUUGUUUUUUUGUUUUUUUGUUUUUUUGUUUUUUGAGAUGGAGUUUCGCUCUUGUUGCCCAAGCUGGAGUGCAAUGGCGCGAUCUCAGCUCACCGCAACCUCCGCCUCCCAGGUUCAAGCAAUUCUCCGGCCUCAGCCUCCCGAGUAGCUGGGAUUACAGGCAUGUACCACCACGCCCGGCUAAUUUUGUAUUUUUAGUAGAGACGGGGUUCCUCCAUGUUGAGGCUGGUCUCGAACUCCUGACCUCAGGUGAUCCACCCCCCUCGGCCUCCCAAAGUGCUGGGAUUACAGGUGUGAAGUGAGCCACUGCGCCCGGCCUGCCUCAUAGUAUUAUAAUGAAAAUUACACAAAGUAAUAUAUGGAAAGUGGCCGAUAUAGUCAGAACCUGUCUGAAAAUGGGCACUUAAUAAAUAAAUGUUAACUCUCCUUUUCUCUCUGCUCCCCCUUCACUCCCCUCCCUUCCCUUCCCCUCCUCUCCUCUCUCCUCUCCUUUACCUAUUCUCUCUUUGGAGAGAAACCAGUCAGAAGACAAGCGGCCAGGGGUGCCCAUACACAUCAGCAGAGGAGGCUGGAGGAACAGUUCAGGCCAGGGCCUCCAAAAGCUGGCUGCAAUUUCUGCGGCAGGAUGGGGCAGAGGUCCAGCCUGUGUUAUUAUCCCCAUUUUACACAUGAUGGAAAGGUGGUCCUGGGUCCCCAAUUCUUCCACUAUACAACAUGCUGUUUCCCCAAGUGCUGAGUAGAUCUUAUCAUAACCAGUCCUAGGACAACCGAGCACUGGUCACCACAACCUUGCCACUGCUGACCUUGGUUGAAGUCCACUUACUUGAUCCAGCUAUACUCCAUUAUAAUGAACAUUAUAAUUAAACCUUCAGGACAACCUCUGGAGCUUUUGAAAGGAGAAUUAACCAGUUAUUACAAAAAUAAAAGAGAGAGAGUGAGCGAGAGAAAGAUUGAUACAGAUGGCAGAUGAUAAGAGAAAUACAUUCAAGUGUUUCUACAUCAUUCUUCUUUUGGGUCUCAAUUCUCUUUUAAACUAUUCCUAUGAUCCAAGGAAAUCCGCUUGAACAUUAAUUUAAAAGUGAAGGAAGAAGAAGCCUCCAUGACAGAGGAGCAAUCCAAGCCUCUCCAGCAUGGCAGAUUUGGCCCAGGAUAAAGAAGAAUGGUGUCAUGAUCAGGACACAGUCAGGAAGGGCUGGGGGAGCUCCGGAACAAAUGCAGCAAAAUGCCGACAUCUGUUUUAUCUCAACAGUGGACUGUGCUUCUUUGGAGGUGAACUUGUGCUGAUACUUGAUGGGUCACGCAGACUUACAGUGAGAAACAGCUUCAGGAAAGUCAGAAGAGAAAUCCGAGCAAUAAUUAAAAACACACGGUAUUAGUCUGUUCCCAACGCUGCUAAUAAAGACAUACCUGAGACUGGGUAAUUUAUAAAGAAAAGAGGUUUAACGGACUCACAGUUCCACGUGGCUGGGGAGGCCUCACAGUCAUGGCAGAAGACCAAGGAAGAGCAAAGGGAUGUCUUACAUGGUGGCAGGCAAAAGAACAUGUGCAGAGGAACUGCCCUUUAUAGAACUAUCAGAUCUCGUAGGACUUAUUCACUAUCUUGAGAACAGCAUGGGAAAUACUCGCCUCUAUGAUUCAAUUACCUUGCAUUCCUGACCCAUGUAAAUCCCUAGUCUACAUUGCCCUGCAUAAUGGUCUUGUAGCAUUUUCUAGUUAUUACUGCUAUUUGUGAACACAUCUAUUCUCCUUAACUAUUAAUAGUAUAAACAAUUUGAGGGUAGGGCAUACUAUAUUUUAUUUUUUAACCCUUAGGACCACAAUGCUAUAGUUUGAAUGUUUGUGUCCCCCCCAGAUUCAUGCAUUGAAAUGCUAAUCUCCAAGGUAUUGGGAGAUGAGGCCUUUGGGAGGUGAUUAGGUCACAAGGGUGAAACCCUCGUGAAUGGUAUUAGUGCCCUUAUAAAAGAGGCCCCAGGGAGAUACCUCACCCCUUUCACCUUGUGAGGACACAGAUAGAAGACCCCAUCUAUGAAGCAGGAAGUGGGCCCUCAUCAGACACUGAAUCUGCCGACAUCUUGAUCUUAGACUUUCUGGCCUCUAGAAUUAUAAGAAAUAGAUUCUGAUGUUUACAAACACUCAGUUUAUGGUAUUUUGUUAUAACAGCCCCAACAAAGAGAAGCCCUCAGGGUCUCCUACUUUCUUUCUUUUUUUUUUUUUUAACCUUUAUUUUAGGUUCAAGGGUACAUGUGUCGGUUUGUUUUAUAGGUAAACUCAUGUCACAGGGGUUUGUUAUAUCAAUUAUUUCGUCACCCAGGUACUAAGCCUAGUACCCAAUAGUUACUUUCCCUGAUCCUCCCCCUUCUCCCGCCCUCCACCCUCAAAAAGAUCCCAGUGUCUGUUGUCCCCUUCCUUGUGUCCAUGUGUUCUCAUCAUUUAGCUCCCACUUAUAAGUCAGAACACGCAGUAUUUGGUUUUUUGUUCCUGUGCUAGUUUGCUAAGAAAAAUUGACUCCAAUUCCAUCCACAUUCCCACAAAAGAUAGGAUCUCAUUCUUUUUAUGGCUGCAUCGUAUUUCCUGGUGUAUAUGUACCACAUUUGCUUUAACCAGUCUGUAGUUGAUGGACAUUUAGGUUGAUGCCAUGUCUUUUCUAUUGUGAAUAGUGCUGCAAUAAACAUUUG